rnacentral:rRNA from 1 species
CGUAGGGCGCAAGCGUUAUCCGGAAUUAUUGGGCGUAAAGAGCUCGUAGGCGGUUUGUCGCGUCUGCCGUGAAAGUCCGGGGCUCAACUCCGGAUCUGCGGUGGGUACGGGCAGACUAGAGUGAUGUAGGGGAGACUGGAAGUUCCUGGUGUAGCGGUGAAAUGCGCAGAUAUCAGGAGGAACACCGAUGGCGAAGGCAGGUCUCUGGGCAUUAACUGACGCUGAGGAGCGAAAGCAUGGGGAGCGAACAGGAUUAGAUACCCUGGUAGUCCAUGCCGUAAACGUUGGGCACUAGGUGUGGGGGACAUUCCACGUUUUCCGCGCCGUAGCUAACGCAUUAAGUGCCCCGCCUGGGGAGUACGGCCGCAAGGCUAA